UUACAUAAGUUAAUUCAGCAUAUUCAAGUAGAUCUAAAAGAUUAGUUUUGCAAGGUGCCUUUGCCAUAACUCAAAGUCAUGUUGGACUGUACUGGCACAGGUAUCUCAGCUUGUUCUGACCAUUCACAGAGGGGUAAGAAGUAGUUUAGGCAAGUGGGAUCAGAAGUUGCUGCUUUUGCAGCUGCUGUGUUCUUUGUGUGGAGAAGACUUCUGGAUUCUUGUGUUCCAUUUCUAAGCAACUCCCUCAUGGCUAGUCAUACAGGUAAUCUCUGGUCUGUACUAUAGAAGAAAUUAACUUGCAGUUAAAUUCAUCACAGUGUUGUGAGAUUUGCAAGAGGUUUGGCGUGUUUUCUUUCUCCCCAGUGUUACCUACCGAUUGCCACAAGGUCAGAAGUCAAAAGUGUACUCUUACUUUCAUUUCAUUGCAGAAGUUGCCUAGGAGAUUGCUGUUACAGGAAAACUGGGCGGAAGAAUAGACCCAUGUGUGCCUGUAAAGUGGCAUAACCUUGGAUAAUACCAUCAUUCUGCUACAAGACCAAUACUGCAAAAAAUUACACCAUCUGAAAUGGUGGAUCAUUCUAUGCUAGGACUGAAUCCUCUCUAUAGCAUUAUAUUGGUAUUGGAGUAACAAAACCUUAUUUGCUUUGUGGCUCAGGGGAGAUGGAGCCACAAAGAGUGUAUCACAAUGCAAUAAAUUUCUAGUCUUUAAAAAUUAAAAACAGUCUUUCAUGGGGUACAUAUCUCAGGAAAAUGAAAAUAUUUGGGCCACUAAGGUAUUGUAGUUAAUUGCUAAUCUGCUGCCUAAUAACUUGCAUUGUUAUUAUUGUUGUAGAUCAUAUUUUUAUGAUAUUUAUCCUUCUUCCAUUUUUAAUUUGAACUUCUUCAUUUUCUAUGGAUGAAGAACAGCUAAGAGUAAAGGACGAGAUGUAGUGUUGCUCUUCUGUUUUUGUGUGUUCUAGAACUUCAAAUUUUUUAUAUGGUACUCGAUUGCAAAUUGUACAUGAUUGUAAAAUUUAGUUUCUUAAUAUGUUUGACCCACCAAUGACUUUGCAUAGUUUACUGUUUAUCAUGGCUUUACCUUUUCCAAAAAGAAAGUGAACUAUUCCUCUUCCCUCUUUUGGAUCUUGUUACAGAGAGCAGGUAAUUAGCAUGUGCACUUGGAAACACUGUAGAAUACCAAGACAAAGUUGAAGCUCUAGGUUCUAAGGGUUACGUUAAAAAAAGAAAAAAAAAAACAGUUUUGCAUCUUUAUACCAUUUGUUAUACUGAAAAAAAAACCAAAACAACUAGACUGCUCUCUUAAAGAUUUAAAAAAAAAAAAAAAUUGGUUUUAUCUGCUAAUUGUAUUCAAAGUGUUAAAGAACUUUUGGUGUGUUUUUUAGCUGUCUAUUACCUGAGUCGUCAUACUUUUAGAAACAACUGCAUCUCCUAAAAACCUGACACUAUACCACUGCAUGAUUUCUGGGUGGCUGUGAUCUGUCACACACAACCUGCUCUGUCCAGACUGGUCCCUGAACUUCCCUGAGAGGAGAGCUUUCUGGAGUCUGCUUGUAGCACCAUUAUCGCUUGCUGUCCAGACCAUUUUUUUCCUAUGGAAAGCAGGAUGGUGAAGAGAGGAAGCAGUCUACAUAUACGUUGGGACAAGAUUUGAAAUAACAUGGCCUGAGCUCUUCGAGAUUCCAGGGUUUAGAAAUAUCCUAUGAGUUCCAAAAUGGACCUACUGAAGUAAGCAUACUUUUUAAUGUUAGUGUCAACAACAUAAGAGUUUAUCCCAAUACUUAUGUGUAUAUACAUAUAUUGCGAAUAUACUUUGUAUAGCAGUCUUCUUGUGACUUCUUGGUCUCUGAGAAAACUUCUGAAUUUUGAUGGCAUCAUGGGAAGUGUCAUAACAUUAGGAAUUUUCUUCUUUUAUACUUAUUUUUGUUGUUAAGGUUUUUCUAAGACUAUACUCUAAAUUCUGCAGGUAGCAUUCCUUGGAUAUCAUUCCUUGAAUAUUUUAUGCCUGCGUUGCUUUUAUCUCAAAUAUAUUUCAUAAAUAGAAGAAAAUCUGUGGAGUGUUCAUCAUAAUAUUAAGCUUUCUGUAUAUGCUAAUAAAUUAUUUUCUAGUUAUCUA